UACGUAGGGUGCGAGCGUUGUCCGGAAUUAUUGGGCGUAAAGGGCUCGUAGGCGGUCUGUCGCGUCGGGAGUGAAAACCAGGUGCUUAACACCUGGCUUGCUUUCGAUACGGGCAGACUAGAGGUAUUCAGGGGAGAACGGAAUUCCUGGUGUAGCGGUGAAAUGCGCAGAUAUCAGGAGGAACACCGGUGGCGAAGGCGGUUCUCUGGGCCUGUACUGACGCUGAGGAACGAAAGCGUGGGGAGCGAACAGG
rnacentral:rRNA from 1 species